rnacentral:misc_RNA from 1 species
GUGAAUCAUCGAAUUUUUGAACGCAAAUUGCACUCUCCGGUUUUCCGGGAGAGUAUGCCUGUUUGAGGGUCUGUUUAAAAAAUAAUCGAGGCUGCUGCUGUGGUGGCUCUUCGGAAUUGGGUCAUCUUUCACCUUUCGGUUGUAAGGGACCUAAAUUUUUUUUUUCCGUUUUCUACGAACGUUUCUAAGAAUUCCUUGUAGGUUCACGAC